rnacentral:rRNA from 1 species
UACGAAGGGUGCUAGCGUUGUUCGGAAUUACUGGGCGUAAAGCGCGCGUAGGCGGCUUUUCAAGUCAGGGGUGAAAUCCCACAGCUUAACUGUGGAACUGCCUUUGAAACUGUAAAGCUAGAGUGUCGGAGGGGAUAGCGGAAUUGCUAAUGUAGAGGUGAAAUUCGUAGAUAUUAGCAGGAACACCGGUGGCGAAGGCGGCUAUCUGGACGACAACUGACGCUGAGGCGCGAAAGCGUGGGGAUCAAACAGG